AGUAAAAUCAGCUAAACAAGCUUCAGGGCUCAUACCCCUACAAAUGUUGGUUAGAAUCCCUCUUUUGCUA
rnacentral:tRNA from 1 species